rnacentral:rRNA from 1 species
GUGAGGAAUUUUCCGCAAUGGGCGAAAGCCUGACGGAGCAAUGCCGCGUGAAGGAUGAAGGCCUAUGGGUUGUAAACUUCUUUUCUCAGAAAAGAAUUAUGACGGUAUCUGAGGAAUAAGCAUCGGCUAACUCUGUGCCAGCAGCCGCGGUAAGACAGAGGAUGCAAGCGUUAUCCGGAAUGAUUGGGCGUAAAGCGUCUGUAGGUUGUUUAAAAAGUAUUCUGUCAAAGAUUAGGGCUUAACCCUAGAUAGGCAGAAUAAACUUUUAAGCUAGAGUUUGGAAGAGGCAGAGGGAAUUCCCGGUGGAGCGGUGAAAUGCGUAGAUAUCGGGAGGAACACCAAAGGCGAAGGCACUCUGCUGGGCCAAUACUAACACUGAGAGACGAAAGCGAGGGGAGCAAAUGGGAUUAGAAACCCGAGUAGUCC